rnacentral:rRNA from 1 species
GGCCCAGACUCCUACGGGAGGCAGCAGUGAGGAAUAUUGGUCAAUGGCCGAGAGGCUGAACCAGCCAAGUCGCGUGAGGGAUGACGGUCCUAUGGAUUGUAAACCUCUUUUGUCAGGGAGCAAAGGGCGCCACGUGUGGCGUUUUGCGAGUACCUGAAGAAAAAGCAUCGGCUAACUCCGUGCCAGCAGCCGCGGUAAUACGGAGGAUGCGAGCGUUAUCCGGAUUUAUUGGGUUUAAAGGGUGCGUAGGCGGAAUGCCAAGUCAGCGGUAAAAUCGCGGGGCUCAACCUCGCUCCGCCGUUGAAACUGCAUCCCUUGAGUGCGCGAGAAGUAUGCGGAAUGCGUGGUGUAGCGGUGAAAUGCAUAGAUAUCACGCAGAACUCCGAUUGCGAAGGCAGCAUACCGGCGCGCAACUGACGCUCAUGCACGAAAGCGUGGGUAUCGAACAGGAUUAGAUACCCGAGUAC